rnacentral:lncRNA from 1 species
GUUUCCUUCAUUUUCUUUGUAACAUUUCACUAUGUAUUUCUAAACAUUUAGCUAGAGCUAAGGGUGAAACUUUGAUGAAUGUUUAGUAUUGUCUUUGAUCUUUCAUUUUGUUCUUCAAUUUUCAUCUUCUUACUUGGUUGAAGUUUGUGUUCUACAAAUGGUUUUGGUUUGUUAAAGACUUUGAUUUAUUGUUGACAAUUUUGGCACAAUAAAUGCUUAGAUAAUCUCUACAUACCAACAACUUAUUUUGACAUAUUCUCUCAAACAAUUAUCAAGAUCUAUCUUUUAAUAUAUUUGUGGUUAAUGUUUUAUCUUCCAUAUGAGAUCAAUCCUUAGUUGAUUUUCAUAUGAGUUAAAUUAAAGAUCAAGUGCAAUUUCUACUCAUUUAUCCAAAGUGAAUCCCCGAUGCUCUAGUGUUCGUCUCAAUCGUAUUUCCACCAACCGUUCAUUACUCAUAGAAUAGUUUAUUUCCUUCCAAUUCCCUGUGGUUCGACCUCGGACUUCCGAGAUUUACUACUUGCGACAACCUG